rnacentral:tRNA from 1 species
GAGGGUAUAGCUUAAGUGGUAGAGCAUAUGCUUAGCAUACAUCAAGGUCCUGAGUUCAAUCCCCAGUACCUCCU